UAGUUAUAUGCUUGUUUCAAGGACUAAGCCAUGCAAGUCUAAGAAUUAAGUGUGUUAGGCCAAGUCUGCGUACGGCUCAUUAAAUCAGCUCUAAUCUACCCGCUGAAGUUGGGGCUUGCCCUAACCAGCCGGAUAACCUCCAGAAACUAGAGGCUAAUACGUGUAUGAAACACGCCUUUCUCUAUUCAAACGGUGAAGGGAAACCGGACCCGUGGAGAAGGUGUGCAGUUGGCCGGCACCAAAAAUCAACCCGCGGUGAAUGCGGAGUGGGUUUAUCGAUGAAACAGGCCAACCAUAGGGAUAGCGCAUGGCUUCGGCCGGCGCAGGAGCGGACGAAGAUCUGCCCUAUCAUGCUACGAUGGUAGUGUAGUGGACUACCAUGGCUAUCACGGGUAACGGAGGAUCAGGGUUCGAUUCCGGAGAGGGAGCCUGAGAGACGGCUACCACGACUAAGGUCGGCAGCAGGCGCGCAAAUUGCCCAAUACCAAUACUGGUGAGGCAGCGACGAAAAAUAGCAGCUCUGCUUGUCAACGACAUGUGGAGCUUGCAAUGGAUGAUAUUCAAACCCAUCAAUGAGUAACAAUU
rnacentral:rRNA from 1 species